UACGGGGGGGGCAAGCGUUGUUCGGAAUUACUGGGCGUAAAGGGCUCGUAGGCGGCCAACUAAGUCCGACGUGAAAUCCCCAGGCUUAACCUGGGAACUGCGUCGGAUACUGGUUGGCUUGAAUCCGGGAGAGGGAUGCGGAAUUCCAGGUGUAGCGGUGAAAUGCGUAGAUAUCUGGAGGAACACCGGUGGCGAAGGCGGCAUCCUGGACCGGCACUGACACUGAGGCACGAAAGCGUGGGGAGCAAACAGG
rnacentral:rRNA from 1 species